ensembl:lncRNA
GAAUCUGAGAAUAUUCCAUCAUUUUCAGUUUGUGAGAAACGAUUCCUCUGCCUCCUAUGACCUGCUGAUCAUGAACAUCACUGAUUCAGAUGAGGGUCUCUACUACUGUGGAACUGAAAAGCAAAAAGUGGAGAAAACAGAAUACAGUACUCACAGAUAUGAUUACGGAUAUGGCAACGUCACAACCAGGAUCAUAUUAGACUCCAGCAGGCCUCAUCACACGGAGACUCCACAAGACUGUAGUGUGUGCUGGAUGCUUCUGUUCUCUCUGUGUCCAGCUUUUGCUGUUCUCUCCUCUCUCCUCUCCUCACUCUUGGUUUAUCACAUCUGUCAGAAAAAAGCUAAAGAACGUCGAGUUGAUCAACAAAAACCUGAAACUAGAGGUCAAACAAGACUGAAUCAGGAUGAAGAUGUGUGUUAUGCUGCACUGGAAAUCAGAAGACCAAAGAAGAAGAAAACACAGAUUUCUGACUCCACCACGUAUUCUGCCAUCAAUAGCCUGUAGGAUGUAAAGAGCCUAACAAUUUACACAAACAUGAAUUCAUUAGAGCUGAUGUUUCUGUAAUUUAGUUUCCCUUGCAAACCACAGCAACAACCAAUAACACUGAUGGUAUAUACAGUAUGAAAACAUGGCAUACAGUUAAGGUUGGUUUUUUUUUUAAAAAGCAGUGAUGUGUUUGAAAAGUUGAUCAUAAACUCUUUUGUCUUUGUUAAUUGAGAACAAAUAUACAUUUUACAGUAUUUAGUAGUUAAUGAAGCCACCAGUGUUACUAGUGGGAAGGAAGAUAAAGAGUGGCAAACGAAAACAAAGACAGGAUUUGAUUUGAGAGUGAUUUAGAUUUUGUGUGCAGGGGCAAAAAUAUAGACAGUGCAGUUGCCUGUGGGGGCCCAUAGAGAGAAGGGCCUCCAACAAUGUGUUAGGUGAAACUUCUGAAAUACGCCUGUGUUGAAAGAUCUAUAUAGGAAUAUAUAUAUAUAUAUAUAUAUAACUAUUCAAUUAAAUAAUUAAUAUUUUGUUAUUUUGAAACUGAAUGAGAAUUAAACUCAUCGCAAGAUUGCUACACUUUAAACUUAUUACUCAAAGAAGUUACAACCCAAUACAGAGUGACAAUGAAGUUACAGGAGCCGCAAGGUGUCGCCAUUGUGAUCAGGCCCACAGGAAACCCAUAUUGCAAAACAGCACAUCAUGCAGGCGGACUGAUGCAGCAGAUUAGUGGUGUUAUACUGUUUUUAUGCAUGCCUUCACUUUCGUUACUUGAGAAUUAUCUUAUGAUGCAGGGCUGGCAGUAUGGUGUGUGGACUGGUAGCUAGAGAGGUGCCAGUUCGACCUCCUGGCCACCUGCAAGGCCCCCUAACCCCAAUUUGUCCUUGCUCAUUCUGUUGUUUUAUUGGGUUCAUGUUCCUUAUUUUCAUUUUAUCUGCAUUGUUUGGUUUUGAUUAUUUAUUUUUUUGUACAGCACUUUGUAACAUUGUUAAGAAAAGUGCUAUAUAAAUAAAGUAUAGUAUGUUUCUCAGCAUCCCAUGAUUUAACUAACAGCAUAACUGAGAAUCUUCUAGACAUAUUGGUGACCAGUCAUCAAAAACAGCUUACUAGAAACAGUGGCAGAAUUGGGUGAAAGUCUCAUUUGCAUCACUGCUGACAUCAAUGAGGAAGGACCAGAAUAUCACCAUCUUGCUCGCUGAUAAAGGGAGAUGCACAGCUGUGCUGGGUGUGGCCAGAGGUCCAACUGAAACGUUCAACCAGAGAGGGUAGUAAAACACUGCUUUUCAGCCUGGAAUAUUAACUUACUCUAUAAACACCACCUACUUUAGAUAAAAUAAUGGUACAGACAGAAGCACAGCUCCUUCUAUGAGACAACAUGUAGUCAUUGGGUCAAAAAUAUAAGCUUGAGAAGUGCAAGCUUUUACAAACUUAUACAUGUAUGCAUAGACAGCAACAUCAAGUUUAAAUGGGAAGACAUCAGAGACAGAGACAAUAUAAGGGUUUAGACUGAGAAGUGCAAAUCAAAGAGGACAGAUGCCUUGAUACAGGUACUGAGGUGAAUGGACACCAAAGGAAAAAGCUUGUGGCUACCCAACUGUGCCUUUGUAAAAACAGCUACAGGAAGAAUAGGUGCAACAUAGGCCUUACAUACAUUUGAGAAACUCAGGAGGAACUUUAACAAACACAGCUUCCCUGCUUUUUUUUCAAACUUAGCACCACAAUGAGAUAAAAGGUUGUCCAGCGUCAAGACCAUAAACCCAAACAUAAGACAAGCAAAUUAAUAAACAAAGUCCAGUGCAGAGAGUAUUGCAGACCUGUGUAUUAGACAGUCAAUACUCAGUCUAGUUACAUCUAAAAUAUAAGAUUUUGAGACCAGAAAAGUAUUCAUACUUAUUGGACAGAGAAAGCAG